CGCGCGCGUGCUGGAGAGCCGGAAGCAGAGGAUGAAGUCGGGGUGUGUGUGUGUGUGUGUGUGUGUGUGCGCGCGCGCGCGCGCGCGUGCUGGAGAGCCGGAAGCAGAGGAUGAAGUCGGGGACUGCGAGGGAAGGAGAAAUGGCGUUCACUGAAGCUUUGCUCCAUGAGGUGGCCCUGGAAUGUCUGCAGGAGGAGGGGGCAGUGCUGCGGUCGAUGCUGAGGUACAGACCGAGGGCCCUGGGAGCAGGGGGGAGGCCAGACGCCUCUCCUGGAACGAGCCCGUAAGACCUGGGACCCUGAGCUGGAGCAGCAUUCAUCUUAAGGAGGCGCUGGUUUUCUGAGAGAAGAGGAGGGGAAUGGACAAACUUUGGGUUUCUGAAUGCAACCCACAUGGAAAAUAAACAGAAGGCAUUAAGAGGUCUGCACAACUGAAAUAAAACAGCUACUGGAUGUUCCAGAAAGGAGGAAAAGAAGCUUACUGGAAGAACAUGUGCUAAUGAAGUCUUCAAAGCAAGGUGAAUAGAAGACCCUGACCUCAUCUCUCCUAUUGGCCCAUAUCCUUUCCUGUCUGCCCCCAUGAUGCAACCAGGCUCAUCUCCUGCCUGCUCCCAGUCUCCCAGAAUCCAGAUCUCUCUCAAUAUCUGACGACUCGAUCCUUUUGGAGCAAUGGCCGUUGUAGGAGGAGGAGGUGAAGGCAGCUUCCUGCUGAGAUGCACUAAGCAAGAAGCCAAAACUCAGCUAGGAGAGCUCAGGGUUCCUACCCGCCCUGCCCUGAGGUGCGCUUCUGCUCCGGCCCCAGAAUCAGAAUGGCUAUUCCAGAUGUGGACUCUGCUUUGACACAGAAGACACUAAAUAUUCAUGAUUUCCUGACUGUGGGAAGUAUGGUUGUUCAUUUUCCAAGUCUUUCCCUUUUUUGAUGUUGCUUCAGGAAUAGAAAAUCAGAAGUUCUUGAUGAGGUGACUGAUGCCAAGGCCUCCUGUCACGCACUUCAACCUUUUUGUUUGUGAAGGCUUCUAUGCAAGGAAGAGUGAGUGAGCCCCAUCUUUUCCUCCCACUAAAGACUGCAGUCACUUCACUGAACACGGACAGACAGGACGAUGCAGCAACAGAUGGAGUUCAACAUGAAACCAAGGAAGGCUGUCAGAUGCAAGCAUUGCAGACAGCAGUCAGGGGCUACCUGUCCUGUUCUACGUAAGCGAAAGGACAGGACAAGACAGGAGGAGACACCAGCAGCAUCCCAAGGUUCCUGAUGGGUAAGAAGAUAACAAGGGCUCUGAAAGAAGCACCUGCCCAGAGCUCUGUCUCCUCCAACCCCACCUCCCCUGCCCCCAUCUGCCUGGGUCGGGUCCACCAGGACCCGGGAUAUGGAUCACAUGCAGACUCCCCCCCCCACAGGCCAAACUUCUCACACUGGGGCCAAAGCGGCAGGCACCACAGGAGGCUAGGGAGUCCGAGAAGCCACAGGCAAAUGUGGAACACUUUUCUGGAACAUCAGUUCCACUAGAUGACUUGAGGAAAUUAUUUUCGAUAUUUGGAGAAAAAUGCAAAGUUCUCAUGCAUUUCCAAGGACAAAGCAGAAGACUUCAAAUAAAAUGUUAUCUUUUGUGAACUGAGUUACAGUGGCAGGUCCUUUGCCACUGGGGUUACUGCUGGCUGGAAGCAUCCCUUCUCUAGAUUUUAGGUACCUAGGCAUUGAAGGGUUAAUGAAUAAGAGAGGUCACAGCAAAUUCUGUGGCCUUUAGGAAUACUGGUCAGUUGAAAGGAACGGUUUUGAUUUCUCCCUUGAUUGUACUUCCUGGAGCAGAGAUGCGGAGCAAUGCAGCCUGUCUUGGAGACAAUGAAUCUGCGGCUGAAAGAAGCAGGUGUGCUGGAUGCCAGGUGCAGUCACAAAGUAAAGGACGCGCAGGAACCUCCCUGCUACAGGGCAGGCCCCAAGCGGCCCGAACACUCUUUGCCUAGCCAUGACGUUCUGCUGCUGUCACUGUGGCUGAAGAGCUCUCUUCCUUGGAAGUCAUGAGGGGUUCAACAUCUUUUAAAAUCCAGACAAUUCAAAGGGCGCCCGGGUGGCUCAGUCGGUUAAGCGGCCGACUCUCGAUUUUGGCUCAGGUCAUGAUCUCAGGGUGCUGGGAUCUAGCCCCACGGCAGGCUCUGCGCUCAGCGGCGAGUCUGCUUGAAGAUUCUCUCUCUCCCUCUGCCCCACCCCCCACUUGUGGUCGUGCUCUCUCAAAUAAACAAAUAAAUCUUUUUUUUUUUUAAGAUUUUAUUUAUUUGACAGAGAGAGACACAGCAAGAGAGGGAACACAAGCAGGGGGAGAGGGAGAGGGAGAAGCAGGCCUCCCGCUGAGCAGGGAGCCCGAUGCGGGGCUCCAUCCCAGGACCCUGGGAUCAUGACCUGAGCCGAAGGCAGACGCUUAACGACAGAGCCAUCCAGGCACCCUAAACAAAUAAAUCUUAAAAAAAAAAAAAAAAAUCCAGACGAUUCAAAAGGAUUAGUAGUAUGAAAGCCAAAGAAUGUGACACUCCUGUGAUUUAUAGGGGAAGAGAAUUCUACGGGCCAGACAUGGUUUACGGCCAAUGCUGGGCAUGUGCCGAGAAGGUCUGGCCUGUCCCUCGCAGCAGAACCACCAUCGGGGGUGACAUCAACAUGGAGGUCUGCAGGAGCCUCCCAAACAAAACCAUUUUACACAUACAAGAAGCUACAGACCAAAGAAGGCAAGCCUUCCAUCUUGAAACUCAGCACACAGAACAGUGCCAAGUGCCACAGAUGUAACUGAAGUUCACAAUUGUUUGCUCUCUAAUUAUCAACGAGGCAGCUCAGAGGGGUGUGUGUGUGUGUGUGUGUGUGUGUAUGUGUGUGUGUGUUUAAAUGACACACAGACAGUACAUCACCAGGGACACUUUUCCCCUACCUAAGAAAAGUGUUGCUUCAGGGUGUUGCCCUGGAAUCAUUAUGAUGACCUUUAAGAGUUAUUUAUAUGUAAUUGGUCCUUGAGUGAAAGAAACAUUUGUGAUUCAGAUGGUGUUUUGUACCUCAAAUGCCACAUAAUAAACUCACAGAAUGAAGGCUGCUGAGUUACGUACCUGAAACACAGCCUCAGCUGGGUCCUAUCAGAAUCCAACACAAGACUGUGGGGGGGGGGUUAUCAUUAGAACACACUGUCCUUUCAUCUUCUACAUCAGGGGUUCCCAAAGUGGGGUCCUCCCACUAGCAGCGGCAGCAUCACCUGGAGACUCUUUAGGACCUGAAUCCAGCUCUACUGAGUUAUAAACUCUAGGGGUAGGACUCAGCAAUCUUUGUCUUAAUAAGCCUUCCACAUGAUUCUGAUGUAUGCUAGAGUUUCAGAACCACCAGGUAAGGUUCUAAAGUCAGAUUUUCUUCACCAAGCAGCCCCUCCCCAAGAAGAGGCCAUCUUCUUCUUGGAGAAGGAGAGUGCCACCCUUUGUGGAGGCAGACAGCUGACACAGGAACUGGACCUCCUGCUCUCUCUGGAGGGCUAUUCAAUAAGGGUCUGGAAAUAAGCUGGCUGGCGACUAGGGUAUCUUGUUUAAUAAUCUGAUUAACAGACCACUGCCACACAUAACCAAAGGUUUAUGGUUUAUCUAAUUUUGAGUAUCUGGAAGGUACCAGUAUUAAGCCUUUUCUAGGCAUAUCUUAAUAACUUCUGGAUGAAUCAGAAAAUGCUCCAGGGUCAUAUAGAAGAGUUACUAAUAUGAGUAACUGCUGGCAAAACACCAACUGUCAAUUAAUAAAGAUGUCCAGUUGACUGAAGCCUUGAUACGUCAGCUCAUAUUAUAUUUCUAAACCAAAGGCUCACAUCAUUUGUCACCCUAUACAUCCCUCCCCCAUCUCAGUCCCUCAGGCCACUCACUUGUAUAAUAAAUGAAGUCUACCUUCUUAGAGUCCAUUAAGCCAUCAGUCAUCCUCUGGCUCCAGGCAAACCCGAUUAUCCCAGAACACAUAUUCACAUACACUCUACUUUUCAAGAGCCACACACAUGGUCAGCAUUUCCUCUGUUGAUUAACUGAAUGAUGGAAACCAUGGGGUCAGGGGACUUGGGCACACCCCACAGUGUGUCACUGAUGGACGAAAACUGUCGACUCUAAUCACAUUCUUCUCUUUUCUUCCCUGUGGAGUCUGCAGUGAUUGAUAUUUAUUUUUCAUUUAUGGAUUGUUAAAUAAAAGUCUUGUUAAAUAAAAGUAAAGUACAUAAAGUGAGAAGGAACAUAAUUCCAAUAGCCUUUGAGAAGAACAAAGGGACAGAGUCAUGCCCUUCCUUCCCAAAGCUCAUCCAAGGCUUCCUCCAUCUUUGUCAAGUCCUCAUUUUGCCUGCUACUGUAUGUGUAUGAGCUCAAGAGCAGAAGAGGUCCGUUUCUACACAUUGGUCAAAAAGAGACAUACGAUCUCCUGAAUCACAGCUGGGGCAGAACAAACGGAUGAAUAUCUAGUGCUGUCAUGAUGGGCCCGUGUCCCUUCGGAGCUGCUCAGCAACACUUCGGCUGGCCUAUGCCUACAGGUGUCAACAGCCCUUUCUCAACCAGAGCCCGCCCAGCUGCUUAGCUCCUCUGUGAGCUACAAGAUGUGACUCAUUCAGUUUCAGGAAUGGGUGGAGAAAAACAAGGUUAGAGAUAAGAUUUUUGCUAGUCCGAGAAAGGGGAGAAAGGGUGAGGUGAGGCUGGGAGGGGUAGGAAAUGAACUUAGAGAAGUCACAGGAGACUCUGGGAAGCUGAAGCAUCUGGGCAAUGUCUCUCUCCUAACUUUGAGAACACUAGUCUCCACUGUAUUUAUUCGAGCUUGGGACCAGAACUUCAUUAAGUGGCUUUGUCUAAAUUGUCCUGGUCAUCAUUUCUGGGGGCGAUGUGCUUCUUUAUCUGAAGUAACGAGAAGCAAGUUGGAGUAAAGCCACUGUGGCUUAGCACUCUCCAUUUUUACCUGGAGAGAAGAGGAUGACACAGGAGUGUGACAUGAAUAGAAAGUUCUAGCUCUUAGAACUCUCUCUCUCAGGAUCUCAAGACCGUUUGAUAAGGAGGCUUGAACCGAAUGGAAUUGCCACACAGUCUAAUCAUCUACUCUUACUAUCAAUAUUUUCAGAGAAUAUUGGUUCUGAGUAGGAUAGGUUCUGGUUUGAAAUGGUUUAUUACAGUUUUUUCUUAAUAUUGACUAGGCCCAUGGUGUGGUAAUUUUUGUUUCAUGUUACAUUAAAUCAUUAUAAUUCUUUCUAGUUGGGAGUCCAAACCUUGUUUCCCUGCUUGAAGCUCCUCUGUUCUAUUCCACUGACUUCCAGUAGGAUCACAAUUCAUCCACAUAGGAGGACUCUCCCUUCCAUCUCCCUGGGAGCAGAUAUAUAACCUGUCUUGGAUUCCAGUUCUGGAGUAUUCUAGAAAACUUUUUCUGUAAAGGGCCAGAUAGUAAAUAGACACUGUAGGCCCCAGAAAAUCUUUGCCACCAUGACUCAACUCUGUCCCUGAGGUUGAACUGGAGCAGAAUGUGCCACUUGAAAAUAUGCCUCUUGGCAUAAGGAUUAUUUGGGGCUGAUUAUUUUUAAGAAUCUACAAACACGGGAGAAACUCUGAAAACAGAGUAGAAGUUACCCCUGUGUAAGAGAAAUCUAAAUUUUAUAAAGGAAAUUUACAUUAGAAAGGGGGCCUGUACCAGGCAGUGAGCUAUUUACCAGAGAUCACUUUUUCAUCUGAGAGACUCAUCUGCAGGGCAGGGCAAACGUUUACCAAAUGUUUCCACUUCUCCCCUGUCAAUUGCCUUCUUCCUUUUGAAUCCCCAGACCCUUAUCUCUUUCCUUAGCUCUGAACUCUUGUCUAUAAGCCUCAAUCUGCUGGCUGCAUUCUGAGUCUCAUAUCUUUGUGGGGCUCCUAUAGGUACUAAUGUGUAUAUAAUUACAUUUUUUUUUCUCCUGUUAAUCUGUUUUUUGGGGGGGGUCUCAGCCAAGAACAAUUAAGAGUAGAGAGAAAAUUACUUUUCCUCCCCUACGUAGGGCUAAAGCAGCCACAGACAACAUGUAAAUGAGUAGGUGAGACCAUGUUCCAAUAAAACACUAUUUACAAAAAUAGGCAGCAGCCAGAUAAGGCCCAUAGCCAUAGUUUACCUACUGCUGUUCUAGAACUUAGUGUGUCAACACCCCUGUUAACUUCUCUUUCUUGCAUAAUUUCAAUCCCUCCUGGUGUUUUUCUUUUUUUAAAAAUUUAAAUUCAAUUAGCCAACAUAUAGUACAUCAUUAAUUUUUGAUGUAGUGUUCAAUGAUUAAUUGUGUGUAACACCCAGUGCUCAUCACAUCACAUGCCCUCCUUAAUGCCCAUCACCCAGUUAUCCCAUCCCCCCACCCACCUCCCUUUCCGCAACCCUCAGUUGGUUUCCCAGAGUCAAGAAUCUCUCAUGGUUUGUCUCCCUCUAAUUUCUUCCCAUUCAGUUUUCCCUCCCUUCCCCUAUGAUCCUCUACACUAUUUCUUAUGUUCCACAUAUGAGUGAAACUAUAUGAUAAAUGUCUUUCUCUGACUGACUUAUUUCACUUAGCAUAAUACCCUCCAGUUCU